CAGCAACCUCAGGGCCUCCGAGAGAUGGCAGGGCUGGCACCCGCCCUGCGGGCACUGUCCCUGUCCCAGGUGUGGGUGGGGCCUGGUGGCUGAAUUUCCCUUUCACUUUAAACUCACGGGAAAGUCUCCUGCUUUUCUGCCCUUUGGGCAAGUUCUCACUUACGCGGCCAUGUGAGCAAAUGGACAUUUUUAAAAGGGAUUCAUAGCAACUCCCAGACAUGUCCUCAUUUCACAAUGCCGGGGGAAGGUGAUUAGAUGAGCUUUUGCAUCUUUGACUCUACUGUGACGGAAUUAUCCUGAGAUUGUGCAGAAACACCCGCAGGAAUUCACGGGUGUUACAAACAGUGCAAACCUAAUGGGGCUUCACUACCCACAAGGGGAGGCUGGACAGAGCCGUCGGGCCCAGAGGCUGUGAACGUGAGCUUGGCCUUUGGGCCUGUGUCUGGGAGCCGGUGUUCACAGAAGCCCUUUGUGCAGCACAGAUGGAGAUGUGGGGAGGUGUUUACCAUUCCUGGGCCCAGGGCAGGCUCACUUUAGGAAUUUCUGCCGCUCCUCUAAUCCAGAGCCUUCUCUCCACACCCAGGGUCCGGGAGGUGCCGCAGGCCCUAAGGGAGACCAGGGUAUUGCAGGUUCCGACGGUCUUCCUGGGGAUAAAGGAGAACUGGGUCCCAGCGGCCUGGUCGGACCCAAAGGAGAGGUGAGUGCCUGGCGACUGUUCCGAUGACACCAUCCAUGGGUGCCUGCUGGCUUCCUGCCCACCUCUGGGCAACCAGGCGGCCCUGCAGGGCACUGCCCAGAUCUGAGAUGUAAAAAAGCUUGCUCUGGUCAAGGCUGGGCAAGACGGCUCCGUGCCGGCCAGGAAAGAGCACGUCGGGGUGGCUCUGGGCUCCUGGGCUCGCCC
rnacentral:sRNA from 1 species